GAACCCCUAUGAUGUUCAGCACUGGGCUCUGACCUCCCCUGAGGACACAGUGCCCCCCAGGACCUCUGAAGAGUCUAGGAAAUU